CACGUAGGAGGCGAGCGUUGUCCGGAAUCAUUGGGCGUAAAGAGCGCGCAGGCGGCUUGGCAAGUCGGGUGUGAAAUCCCGGGGCUCAACCCCGUGACUGCAUCCGAUACUGUCAGGCUAGAGGUAGGUAGGGGAGAUCGGAAUUCCUGGUGUAGCGGUGAAAUGCGUAGACAUGCGGAGGAACACCGAUGGCGAAGGCAAUCCCCUGGGCCUGCACUGACGCUCAUGCACGAAAGCGUGGGGAGCAAACAGG
rnacentral:rRNA from 1 species